UACGAAGGGGGCUAGCGUUGCUCGGAAUCACUGGGCGUAAAGGGUGCGUAGGCGGGUCUUUAAGUCAGGGGGGAAAUCCUGGAGCUCAACUCCAGAACUGCCUUUGAUACUGAAGAUCUUGAGUUCAGGAGAGGUGAGUGGAACUGCGAGUGUAGAGGUGAAAUUCGUAGAUAUUCGCAAGAACACCAGUGGCGAAGGCGGCUCACUGGCCCGAUACUGACGCUGAGGCACGAAAGCGUGGGGAGCAAACAGG
rnacentral:rRNA from 1 species